UGGGGAAUAUUGGACAAUGGGGGGAACCCUGAUCCAGCCAUGCCGCGUGUGUGAAGAAGGCCUUAUGGUUGUAAAGCACUUUAAGCGAGGAGGAGGCUCUUUUGGUUAAUACCCAAGAUGAGUGGACGUUACUCGCAGAAUAAGCACCGGCUAACUCUGUGCCAGCAGCCGCGGUAAUACAGAGGGUGCAAGCGUUAAUCGGAUUUACUGGGCGUAAAGCGCGCGUAGGCGGCCAAUUAAGUCAAAUGUGAAAUCCCCGAGCUUAACUUGGGAAUUGCAUUCGAUACUGGUUGGCUAGAGUGUGGGAGAGGAUGGUAGAAUUCCAGGUGUAGCGGUGAAAUGCGUAGAGAUCUGGAGGAAUACCGAUGGCGAAGGCAGCCAUCUGGCCUAACACUGACGCUGAGGUGCGAAAGCAUGGGGAGCAAACA
rnacentral:rRNA from 1 species